AUGGUCACUUUUGCUUAUAAUAGGGACACAAUACAAUGAAUGACUCUCCCUAUGCUCUGGUUUUUUGCAUGAGGAACAUUAGCUAUGGCGAAGCAAACUGCAACAUCCUCUAAAUAUGUCAUAAACAAUGACAUGCUAAUCUUAUUUACCAAAACUGCAACAUGUACUAUAUUAUUUUGCUUAUAUUACAUUACUUAGUAUGUGCAAAUAGUUAAAAUCGACACCAUGCUAAUGUCUAUUGUACAUAUUAAUAUAAUAUAUAAUAUUAUCCAUCUUCUACAAACACCUUCAUCCUUCAUUCAUUAAUAUUAAAAAAAUUUCAAAACCAUAAUAUUUUGACUAUUGGGCCCGUGCUUGCCACGGGCCUCCCUACCCUAGUAUACAAAUAGAUUGCUUUUAGCCGUUCCGGCCAAUCACUCUCUUUUAUUCGCCUUACUUGAUAAAAUCCUCGGUUGCUUAUCUCCAAAGCUAACCGUUGCCCUUUCAGGAAGAGGUGAGAAAGAGAGCGCCAAACAAAUGGCUCCGAAGAACUUGUCGUUCAAGAUAAUCUUGGGUUCGUCCUCAAUGGCACGUCGCAAAAUUCUAGCGGACAUGGGUUAUGAAUUUACAGUUAUGGGUGCCGACAUUGAUGAAAAGAGGAUUAGGAAGGAUAAUGCAGAGGAAUUAGUGGUAGCUCUAGCAGAGGCAAAGGCAGAUGCUAUCAUGUCAAGGCUCAAAACAACUGAUCAUUUGGAGGAAAAUACCCAUUCCACUCUGUUAAUUACUGCAGAUACAAUCUUUUUGGCUAUAUCUUACCUACAUCUAUUGGUAUCAAGGUGGCUGUGUACGAUGGAAUUAUUAGAGAAAAGCCAUCAAGUAAGGAAGAAGCGCGUCAGUUCAUCAAAAGUAUGUUUGUAUUUGCGGUCUGCAGUUCCCUCCAGUAUCUCAGCUAAGCAGGUUAUUCUUUUUCUUUUCUACCAAUAUUACUGUUCUUGUUAUUAUGAAUUGCAGGUUAUUCUGGUGGUCAAGCCACGGUUGUAGGAUCUGUCGUUGUGACCAACCUUACAAAGGGCAUAAGAAAAGGAGCUUGGGAAAGGUCAGAGGUAUAUUUCCAUGACAUACCUGAUGAGAUCAUUGACAGCCUG